rnacentral:rRNA from 1 species
ACAUGCCUACAACAUAGCGUUAAUGCAUCGAAUCCCAUUAGAACUCUGCAGUUAACCGUGCUCAAUCUGGAGUAGUACUGGGAUGGGUGACCACCCGAGAAGUGCUAGUAUUUUACAUACC